UAGCGUAUAUUAAAGUUGUUGCAGUUAGAACGCUCGUAGUCGGAUUUCGGGGCGGGCCGACCGGUCUGCCGAUGGGUACGCACUGGUCGGCGCGUCCUUCCUUCCGGAGACCGCCUCUGUUCUUAACUGAAUGGGUGCGGGAGACGGAUCGUUUACUUUGAAAAAAUCAGAGUGUUUCAAGCAGGCAGCUCGCUCUUGCAUGGAUUAGCAUGGGAUAAUGAAAUAGGACUUUGGUGCUAUUUUGUUGGUUUCGAACACCGAAGUAAUGAUUAAAAGGGACAGUCAGGGGCACUCGUAUUCCGCCGAGAGAGGUGAAAUUCUCAGACCAGCGGAAGACGAACCACUGCGAAAGCAUUUG
rnacentral:rRNA from 1 species